GCGGGCCCGUGGGGUGUGGCCCCACCCCAGGUCGUCAGAGGCUGCUGCCACAAGAACUUGGCCUCAGCUUCCAUCCCACACUUGGUCCGGCGGCUUGAAAGACAUGGACAGACAACUGGUGUAAGCACGCCACGAAUUAUGUCUCCCGUGGCCAAGGCCUCAUACCUGCAAGGCCAGCGCAGUGCAGGCCACGUACAGUGACCUCUGAAGGACUCCAAAGUACCGGGAUGUCCACGCCUUCACUGUCUCAGUUGCCAUGAGGCUAUGUUGCACCACAAACAAUAGCAGAAGCCCAAGAUCCCAAGCCAGGGAGUUUUGGCCUUUCCCUGUCAUUUGUUUCCACGCCCCGCCCUCUCCACGCUGCGCUGGCUCCUCCUCUCCGCUGCGGCUCACCCGGACCACCGGACUCCGGGAUCCCUCCAAGCAGCGGCCGCAGGGAGGUGAAGCGCAC